rnacentral:misc_RNA from 1 species
GUGAAUCAUCGAAUUUUUGAACGCAACUUGCACUCUCCUCGAAGAGUAUGACUGUUUGUGGGUCAGCCUAUAAAAAAUCGAAAUCGUUGCUGUUUCGCGAUGGCGUUCGUCGGAACUUUGGUAAUCUUAAAUUCUUUUGCUUUAAGCGACUUCAAAUUUUCUUUUGGUUCCAUGCACGUUUCUAUGAUCUAUUUCUUUACACGUUCAAGGUAUCGAUUUUUACUAGACGUGACCAUCAUAUCGGAUAGCGACAU